UACAGGGGGUGCAAACGUUGCUCGGAAUUAUUGGGCGUAAAGCGCGCGUAGGCGGCUUUGUAAGUUAGAGGUGAAAGCCCCGGAGCUCAACUCCGGAACUGCCUUUAAGACUGCAUCGCUUGAAUCCAGGAGAGGUGAGUGGAAUUCCGAGUGUAGAGGUGAAAAUUCGUAGAUAUUCGGAAGAACACCAGUGGCGAAGGCGGCUCACUGGACUGGUAUUGACGCUGAGGUGCGAAAGCAUGGGGAGCAAACAGG
rnacentral:rRNA from 1 species